UACAGAGGUCUCAAGCGUUGUUCGGAUUCAUUGGGCGUAAAGAGCUCGUAGGCGGCUUGUUGCGUCGGCUGUGAAAUCCCAUGGCUCAACUGUGGGCUUGCAGCCGAUACGGGCGGGCUAGAGUUCGGUAGGGGAGACUGGAAUUCCUGGUGUAGCGGUGAAAUGCGUAGAUAUCGGAAGGAUCACCGGUGGCGAAAGCGGCGCGCUGGAUCCCUUCUGACGCUGAGGCGCGAAAGCCAGGGGAG
rnacentral:rRNA from 1 species